rnacentral:tRNA from 1 species
CGGGGUGUGGCGUAGCUUGGUAGCGCACCUGAAUGGGGUUCAGGGGGUCGCAAGUUCAAAUCUUGUCGCCCCGA